rnacentral:lncRNA from 1 species
AGCCACGGAUCUACAGAUUACCUCUCUGACCGCUGCCCUGCUCUGCACGAAAUUAGAAAACGCUCCCAACAGCUGGGCAAGUGCCGCCCGGCUGCAACCUGCGGCGCUGGGCUACCGAGCCGGGGCGGCCCCGCAGCCGCAGCCUCGGCUCCGGCCGGGCACGGAGCAUCUCCGGCGGCUUCCCGGCCCCCCCCCGGGGCUCCCCGGGGCUCCCCGGGACUCUCCCAUCGCUCCCCCGGUCCCCCGGGGCUCAGCCGGCACCCCGCGGAGGCAGGAAAGGCCGGGGACCGGGGGCAGCGCGGAGCCAGCCCGGCACCCCCGGCACCCCCCGCCGCCUGCCCCAGGGGUCUGCAGAGCCCCGGCGGCCCGGGGGGGGGGCUGGCACCCGCCGCACGCCGCCACCUUGCGGUCCCCUUGUCCCCGGCGAAGCUGUCUGGCACCCCCGGAGCCGCCGCCACCGCCCCCGGCCACGCCGAGCCCCCCGCGGCAGCCGCCCCUGCCCCUUGUCCCCCCUCCGUGUCCCCCCCGGGUCCCCGCCGCCCCCCGUCCAGCCCCACCGGCUCCGGGCUCCCUCCCCCGGUGCCCCCCAGCUGGAGCCAGCACCUGAAACAAGGGGAAAUUCGGGGGGCAGGGGGGUGUCCCCGCGGGUCCGAGGCCUGCCUGGGUUUGCGGGACCCCCCCUCACCGAGCAGGGUGGCUGCCAGGCAAGGCUUGGGGUGGCACGGUGCUGGUGGCAGCGGGGCAGACACGUAUUUCCCUCCGGCAGCUGCGUGCCCUCGGCCCCCUGUGCCCACCCACGCAGCCCCGGUGCCGUCUCCACGGGCGCUGUGCACAGCCCCUCGCUCUCCCGCACACCCACACGCUGCAGCCAGCAGCUCCGGGGGGGAGCAGCCCCGGCUGCCAGCUCAGAAGAGCCGCCCGAGGCAGGGGAAGGGGAGCGAAGAGGGCAGCGGGGCUGCAGACAACAUUUCUGGAGACAGCCAGGCUCUGCACUGGUCAAAAGUCAAAAAAAAAGGUGGCUUUAGACAAAUCGUAGGUCCUAGGCUUACUGGCCGACCCCUCAGCACACCCAGUAACAGGCUCUGCUUCCCCAGGAGAGACUCCCCCUUUGCCUGA